rnacentral:rRNA from 1 species
AUUGAACGCUAGCGGCAUGCCUUACACAUGCAAGUCGAACGGUAACGCGGGGCAACCUGGCGACGAGUGGCGAACGGGUGAGUAAUGCAUCGGAACGUGCCCAGUAGUGGGGGAUAGCCCGGCGAAAGCCGGAUUAAUACCGCAUACGACCUACGGGUGAAAGCGGGGGACCGCAAGACCUCACGCUACUGGAGCGGCCGAUGUCAGAUUAGGUAGUUGGCGGGGUAAAGGCCCACCAAGCCUACGAUCUGUAGCUGGUCUGAGAGGACGACCAGCCACACUGGGACUGAGACACGGCCCAGACUCCUACGGGAGGCAGCAGUGGGGAAUUUUGGACAAUGGGGGCAACCCUGAUCCAGCCAUGCCGCGUGCGGGAAGAAGGCCUUCGGGUUGUAAACCGCUUUUGUCGGGGAAGAAAUCUUCCGGGCUAAUACCCUGGGGGGAUGACGGUACUCGGAGAAUAAGCACCGGCUAACUACGUGCCAGCAGCCGCAGUAAAAC